rnacentral:rRNA from 1 species
GAUGAACGCUGGCGGCGUGCCUAAUACAUGCAAGUCGAGCGAACGGACGAGAAGCUUGCUUUUCUGAUGUUAGCGGCGGACGGGUGAGUAACACGUGGAUAACCUACCUAUAAGACUGGGAUAACUUCGGGAAACCGGAGCUAAUACCGGAUAAUAUUUUGAACCGCAUGGUUCAAAAGUGAAAGACGGUCUUGCUGUCACUUAUAGUUGGAACCGCGCUGCAUUAGCUAGUUGGUAAGGUAACGGCUUACCAAGGCAACGAUGCAUAGCCGACCUGAGAGGGUGAUCCGCCACCCUGGAACUGAGACCCGGUCCAGACUCCUACGGGAGGCAGCCGUAGGGAAUCUUCCGCAAUGGGCGAAAGCCUGACGGAGCAACGCCGCGUGAGGGAUGAAGGUCUUCGGAUCGUAAAACUCUGUUAUUAGGGAAGAACAUAUGUGUAAGUAACUGUGCACAUCUUGACGGUACCUAAUCAGAAAGCCACGGCUAACUACGUG